rnacentral:rRNA from 1 species
GACGAACGCUGGCGGCGUGCUUAACACAUGCAAGUCGAACGGAAAGGCCCUGCUUUUGUGGGGUGCUCGAGUGGCGAACGGGUGAGUAACACGUGAGUAACCUGCCCUUGACUUUGGGAUAACUUCAGGAAACUGGGGCUAAUACCGGAUAGGAGCUCCUGCUGCAUGGUGGGGGUUGGAAAGUUUCGGCGGUUGGGGAUGGACUCGCGGCUUAUCAGCUUGUUGGUGGGGUAGUGGCCUACCAAGGCUUUGACGGGUAGCCGGCCUGAGGGGGUGACCGGCCACAUUGGGACUGAGAUACGGCCCAGACUCCUACGGGAGGCAGCAGUGGGGAAUAUUGCACAAUGGGCGGAAGCCUGAUGCAGCAACGCCGCGUGCGGGAUGACGGCCUUCGGGUUGUAAACCGCUUUCGCCUGUGACGAAGCGUGAGUGACGGUAAUGGGUAAAGAAGCACCGGCUAACUACAUG